GGGGCCUGCCUGGUGGGAAGCAGCAGCUCCGUGUGCUGGGAAGCACUGGAGAAGGGAGGGAGGGUGUGUUAUUGCCCAGAAAGCAGCGGCUCUGACCGGCACACGGCUCUGUGAACACAAAGCAGCGUCUCUUCUUCAAGGUUGUUUAAGAGUAAACAAGAGCUGCCGGGAGGGAAGGAGCCCACGGCCGCCCCGGCGCUCCCAGGCUGCCUUGUGAGCACAGCAGAUGGGGCACAGGCCGUGCAGGCUGGGGCAGCCCACAAAACCCUUGCCCAGGCUUAUUUCUGCAGCUGCAGAUCACCUCAAAAACACAGCCCACGUCUGGCUUGCCAGGGCUUCAAACACCCCGCCAAGUUUCCAACAACCUUAAAGCCUUUCCUGCUCGGUGUUUGCUUUCCCGUCACCCGCGGGAGCGCUCGGUGCUCCGCGGGCCCUCAGCUUUGCUCUGGAGGCAGAACAAGGUAUUUGUCUAACCCCGUGACACUGAGAGACCUGAUUUCCCGGUACAAAUGUUAAAAUGUAAACUCCCAGAGACGUGGCCUGUCACAACCAGCAUCCAGAACACCCUCGCCCUGGUUUCUUGUUGAGUGUCCUGGGGGGACAGCAGGAGACCCAGGAGAUGCUGGAUAAUCUGUGCUGUGAUCACAGCAGGAGAAGAGCCCCAGUGGGAGGACAGGAGAAAGACUUCUGGCCAGUCCUGGCUGAGUGGCUGGUGGAUUCAGGGGUUAAAAAAAGGCCUUUUGCAAGCGGUGCCUCCAUCCAACAGGAUGGAGAGAUUAGAAACACCUAAAGCGCCUGAAGGUUUGCAGCACCACUGACUGAUCAAAUAAAAAUAUGUGAAUCAUAAA